GACGAACGCUGGCGGCGUGCUUAACACAUGCAAGUCGAACGGAAAGGCCCUGCUUUUGUGGGGUGCUCGAGUGGCGAACGGGUGAGUAACACGUGAGUAACCUGCCCUUGACUUUGGGAUAACUUCAGGAAACUGGGGCUAAUACCGGAUAGGAGCUCCUGCUGCAUGGUGGGGGUUGGAAAGUUUCGGCGGUUGGGGAUGGACUCGCGGCUUAUCAGCUUGUUGGUGGGGUAGUGGCUUACCAAGGCUUUGACGGGUAGCCGGCCUGCGAGGGUGACCGGCCACAUUGGGCCUGAGAUACGGCCCAGACUCCUACGGGAGGCAGCAGUGGGGAAUAUUGCACAAUGGGCGGAAGCCUGAUGCAGCAACGCCGCGUGCGGGAUGACGGCCUUCUGGUUGUAAACCGCUUUCGCCUGUGACGAAGCGUGAGUGACGGUAAUGGGUAAAGAAGCACCGGCUAACUACGUG
rnacentral:rRNA from 1 species